rnacentral:lncRNA from 1 species
GAAAGACACAAAGCCAUCUCUUAUGAGCUUAUUCAGUCCUCUGCAAAAAGAAAGGUCCUGGACAACGUGUUCCCUGCCAGCAACUCCACCCCCUAACAGAUGUUUAAUUGAACACCUACUAUAUGCCAGGAACAGCGGGGUAUAAGACCAAGCCCUCACUCUAAUGAAUUUGAGCCCUAGGAGGAGAGAAGCAGCAAGUCAACUACACGCAAAUAACAAGUGAUAGAGAUGAGACUACAAUCCACGUCUGUUGCCUCUGGCACCCUGUGCUCCAACCUCACAAUCCACAGCAAGCCUGUCCUCUCCACUCUGAUCUGGGCACCUCAGGCCUACAGAGCAGCCACACACAGGGUGGUGGCUGAUGUCUGCUCCCAGGUCUGCACUUCUCAGCUGAGGAAAUUCCACCACUGCCACCAGCACACAGAGAAACCAGAGCUCCAUCCACAAGCACAGCUGUGUGUCCUCGCCGGCUGCUCCUGGCCCUCUCUCUCAUCUCAACUCGUCCAUGGUUCCAGGAGGUGAGGAGAAGCUGGCAAGGCAGGGACAGAGCCCAAGAGUGCCUUGGGUGCGUCUCAGACACCUUUCCUCAAAACAGUCUGGUCCCAGAACCCAAGCAGG